AUCUACGGCCAUGCCACCUUGAACAAGCCCGAUCCCGUCUGAUCUCGGAAGCUAAGCAAGGUCGGGCCUGCUUAGUACUUGGAUGGGAGGCCACCUAGGAAGACCAGGUGCUGUCGGCG
rnacentral:rRNA from 1 species